AGAAUCAACGCUGGCGGCGUGCCUAACACAUGCAAGUCGAACGAGAAAGGGAUUUCGGUCCUGAGUAUAGUGGCGCACGGGUGAGUAACACGUGAAUAAUCUACCUCCGAGUGGGGAAUAACUGAGAGAAAUCUUAGCUAAUACCGCAUAACACUUACGAGUCAAAGCAGCAAUGCGCUUGGAGAGGAGUUCGCGGCCGAUUAGUUAGUUGGCGGGGUAAUGGCCCACCAAGACGAUGAU
rnacentral:rRNA from 1 species